GGAUCUUAUCCCUCAGGGAGCAGCCAGUAUGGUGGGCCGGGCUCAUAUUCUUCUGGAGGCAGACAACAUGGUAAACCAGGUGGCUCUGGCUCAGGAAGCACUUAUUCUGGAAAACAGGUAAGAAUACUUUAAUUACAGCCUUUUCAUCUUCUUUUCUUAGUAAACAAAGAAACCUGGGUGGUAGGUAGAGCAAUUUUAGGAUGAUUUGGUCUGAAGAGAACAUUCUGUAUUAGUUCCAUUUAUAUUAGAGCAUAUUUAAAGAAACCACUGUGGAAAAUAUGGCCUCAGCCUGGGAAAGCAAUUUCAGUGUCAGUUAUAUUUUAAAUCUAAAUCUCUCUUGUUUCAGAUUUCAGUUAGGGGCCUUGUUACAUUUUUCUGUCCUCUGUUUUUUAAAUUCUUGUUCUCUGUGUAGAUUUUAUAGACUGUGCUCAGUUAAUCCUUCACUUUUUAUUUUUUUUUAAUAAGCUAGAUUCUUGAGUUUUUUGCUGGCAGGUUACCUGGUUUCGCACUUCUUUUUUUUGUUUUGUUUUCAGUACUCGUCAAAUUUUUAACGUCCUCUUUCAAUUAUAGAGAUGGAAAACUCUGUAUCAAAUAUGAUAAUGGAAUGAGAGAAAAAUAGACUUUUGUCUUUCCAUCAGUUUUAGCUGAAAUUUUCAGAUGUACCACGAGACAUCUGUACAUAACUAAAACUGUUUGCUUUAUCAAUGCAAAGCAAUUUUCCUCUUGAACAAAUUAAACCCAUGCUGUGGGUUAAGGUAAUCAAAACUUUUGCAGACAAAAACUGUUUUCAAAACCAUUGUGUGAGAACACUUUUAGAUUUAUUUGUUUGUUUGUUUUCAACAGUCACCUUCCUCUGGAGGCAGUCAAGUGAGCUCUGCUGGGAAACACUCCACUCCCCAACUCCUGAUGUUAUUCAGUGUUUUGAGUGCCUUUGCUCUCUCUGCUGCCACAUCAAAAUGGUCUAUAUGAACCUCCGAAGAGCUGUUUGACAACCUAAACAUGGAUUAUAUUCCAUAUUAUUAGAUUAAUUACUUAAUGUAAGAAAAAAAAUAUCCUUAAGUCAAAUUGUCAGAUGCUACUUGGCUGUUAUGUUGCAUGUCUAGCUGAUAUGUCAUGCCUUUCAUUAGUUUACCUCUGGUUUUAGUCAUUAGUAGAUAUCAUUAGUUUUGUCAGUGUUUUAGGCAUCAUUUUAAGAGAGCAUAUUGUACCCCACCUGUAUGAUUUAUUUGUAUUUCUGACAGGGAAUGCGAUGAACACCUGCCUGAAAUGACUGGUGUGACAAAUGAACACUUAGAAAGUAUUUGGUUAUUAACCAAAGUGGACGAGGUCAAAUAAAUUGUUAUAGAUGCGAGCUGAGCA
rnacentral:lncRNA from 1 species